CUCUCUCCCAUCAACCUUCCCCUUUAAUUUCUCCCAAUUUCCAAUCGAUUUAAACAACCUUUUUCCUCCAUUUGAUUUAAACAUGCGGCUCUCAUCCCCAAUCUAUUUAUUUCCCUCUACCCCAUUGUUUCAAUAAUACUCCCAGACGGUUUGUGUUCUUAUUUUUUCAAUUUAAUUUAAUUUGCCGCCCUCACUGUCCAGUAACAUUUGUUCAUUCCCACUACCAGUUCCGUUGCCAAAUUCCUAAAAUACAUAAUGGAUUUCCCUUUAUUCCCCUGUUUCAAUUUUUUUCCUAGACUGUUUGUAUUCUUUUUCUUUCAAUUGGAUCUGCCCCCUUAUUGUCCAAUAAACGAUGUUCAUUCCCACUAACAGACCCUACUGCCCAAUUAUUAAAAACCCCAAAUUAUAUUUACAUUUUCUUAAACCCUGAAGAAGUACAAAUGUUGCACUGGCUGGAUAAUUCUAUAUAAGACCCUUAUUAGUUCUCAUCUGCUCAUCAGUCCUCUUGCCACCCCGUCUUCCUUUUCCUAAUCUCUGUUGUUUGAAAUUUUGCAAUGGCUUUCAAAGUGGAUGAUGAUUCAACAAUUGACACAUCCUACCCUUCCAACGGAACCGUCGCGGUGGAAUUAUAUGCAGGAGUGAUUUCUUAUAGAUUAAAAUAGCAGGGAUGUCAUCUCAAAAUCCGAAAAUGAGCAGACUUAGGAAAAGGAAGUUGAAGUUGAUGGAAAUAUGAAAGUUGUUGUCCCAGUCAAUGGCAACUCUCAGGACUCCCUUCAAGCCGAGGAUCAUGAUUCUCCUCCUUCUAAAUGUCUCAUCUCUAUUGACGCUGAAGCCAUUGCAACUGAUUUAGCAAGCAAGAAGCCAUUGAAGAUUGUCAAGGAGAAAAUGUAUUGUUAUUGAUAUUGCUUUUAUUUUUUUGAUGUAUUUUGUUGGUUCUUUGAGCCGUGGUUACCCUUUUAAGAUCCUUGAUUUAGUUUUUCUUCUUUUCUUUGUUUUCUAUUUCAAGUUGCUCUAUGAGCUGUGUACCUGGAUGUAAUGAAUGUUUCAACUGAUAUUAUGUUCAUCCUUUUGUUUGAUGCAAUGGUUACAGUUGUCAAUCAGUAU